UAUGGUCAUAUCACAUUGAAACACUGGUUCACAUCUGAUCACUGAAGUUAAGCAAUAUUGAGUCUAGUCAGUAUCUACAUGGGUGACUAUUUGGGAAUACAAGGUGCUGUAAG